rnacentral:rRNA from 1 species
UACGUAGGGGCUAGCGUUAUCCGGAAUUACUGGGCGUAAAGGGUGCGUAGGUGGUUUCUUAAGUCAGAGGUGAAAGGCUACGGCUCAACCGUAGUAAGCCUUUGAAACUGGGAAACUUGAGUGCAGGAGAGGAGAGUGGAAUUCCUAGUGUAGUGGUGAAAUGCGUAGAUAUUAGGAGGAACACCAGUUGCGAAGGCGGCCCUCUGGACUGUAACUGACACUGAGGCACGAAAGCGUGGGGAGCAAACAGGAUUAGAUACCCUGGUAGUCCCUGAGCGGG